GAUAAAAUGGCUGAAUUAUAAGCGAUAAAUUGUAAAUUUAUUUAUGAAUAUUAUUCUUUUAUUA
rnacentral:tRNA from 1 species